UCAAUCAAAAUAGGAAUGGGAAAAUUGUAAUUGUUGCUAGGCAGGGAGAAGAGAGAGGGUUAGAAAGGGGGACUAGGCAGCUUCUCUUCUACCUUCAACGAUGCUCUCUCUUCGGUGGCAAGACUCGUUCGGCGGCGGCGACGAUCGACGGUUCAAAGGGGAAGGGUUUCGUUCUUCUCUUCGCUUCUAUCUGGAAAAAAAUCUCAGUUCGAUUCUUGAGUGAAUAAAAAUGGAAUUGAAACAAGUAACGCAAGGACAAGAAGAAAAAGAGCAAGAUCAUCCACUCCAUAACCCUCUUAUCUCCGCAUACAAGAUGGAAACUUCCUACUUUCUCGUAGAGUUGUCUUGGUGCCAUUGACUAGGCAGAGAUCUUUCAAUAACGUUCCUCAACCACAUGCUAUCUUAUAUUACUCACAGAGGACCAGCAAAGGAGGUCUUCUCAUUUCCAAAGCCACUGGGGUUUCUGAUACUGCACAAGGAUAUCCAUUUACACCUGGUAUAUGGACAAAGGAGCAAGUUGAAGCCUGGAAACCGAUUGUAGAUGCUGUUCAUGCAAAGGGUGGUAUAUUCUUUUGUCAGAUUUGGCAUGUGGGAAGAGUUUCAAAUCAAGCUCUACAGUUUUAAGUGGAGUGAGUACUAUGUAUCUGAGAUUGCCUUGUCGGUAAUAAAUUUAAAUUCUUUUUGUAUUAAAUAAAAUCAUUAUGUCACUUUCUUUUUGUUGAUAUCUUUGUAUAUAGUAAUUGUUCACUCUGAAGUUAUCUUUGAUUUGACUAAUUUUUUUUCAUUAAGUUUAUGUUUGCGUCUUUUUGAAACUUGUUCAUUCCUAAUGACAAUUGGGGUACAUAACAAACAUUUGAAAGCAGCAGCUGCUAAGGUGGCAGUUUUGAAGAGAUAGAAAAGGGGUGCUGCUCUUCUCACUAAUACUCCAGAGAAGCAUUGAAAAUCUGCAGUAACAGCUUGCUCCUAAACGGGUUUGGAUGGCUUCUUCCAUACAUAGGGGUGUAUAACAAGGUUAGUUCCUGUUAGAUUCACUCUUCUACUGUUUUGCAAGUGCUUCCUCAGAAACAAAAAUGUUUAUUCUAUCUAUGAAAUCACAACUCAACUUGUUUAUAAAUUGAUUUUCUUGAAUAUACUAACAGCUUCACAACAUGUUGAUUGGUUUGGAACCUUUGAAUCCUAACUGCUCAUUUUCUUAUCUUCUCUUUGAUUUCUAUGUUCUGUUCAUGCGGCGUCAACAAGUUGGUUUUCUCUUCCUCUCUCAUUCUCUUCUUAUCUUCUCUCCUCUAAGGUAUGAUAUUUCUUCACUGUUUUAGAGAACUUAUUUGUCAUUAAAUUUCUUUCUUCGUAUAAAAACUGAUUUGGAAUUUGUGAUAAAAAAAUAUGUUGGCUAAUGUUUGUAAAAAAUCAUGUGCUUUUAGAUUGAAAACCAUGAAAUCCCAAAAAAUAUGUUGGCUAUUGUUUGUAAAAAAAUAUGAAUUUUUGCUAAUUUUUUAUUAUGACAUUGCUUUUAUGGGGCUAUUGAAUUAUCUUAUUAAUUUUAGAAAUGUUUUGUUGAUGUUUUAAAAUUUCUUGAUCAUUUCUUAAUACCUCAAGAAAUAAUUUUGUCACUGAGUCGUUGGUUUUUGUACUUAUGUGAAGUUUCCUUUGUCAUGAAGACAAGAAAUGCAACAAGAUUAGUUGCUCCAGCUAUUGUCGCAGGUUUAGGUGCCUUAACACAUACAUUGGGUACCCUCGUCCUUGUGAUAGGAGCAAGUGGAUUUGCUACAGCUACAAUUGCUAUAGGAAUUAUUGUCGGUAGUUUUAGAUAAUCUCUUAAUAGUUGUCGAUAUAUUUAGAAAGCUAGAUAUGCAUAGUUUUGGAUGGUUUAAACUUUUUGUACAGUUUAGAACUUAAGGAUUUAGUUUUCGAAUGUUUGGAAUGUAUAGACAAUUGUUGAAUGUUUAUAAUUUAUUGAUAUAGUUUCAUUUUGAUGUGUUGAACAA